CGGACGGGUGAGUAACGCGUGGGUAACCUGCCUCAUACAGGGGGAUAACGAUUGGAAACGAUUGCUAAUACCGCAUAAGCGCACAGUACCACAUGGUACAGUGUGAAAAACUCCGGUGGUAUGAGAUGGACCCGCGUCUGAUUAGCUAGUUGGUGAGGUAACGGCCCACCAAGGCAACGAUCAGUAGCCGACCUGAGAGGGUGACCGGCCACAUUGGACUGAGACACGGCCCAA
rnacentral:rRNA from 1 species